rnacentral:misc_RNA from 1 species
GAUGAAGAACGGAGUGAAAUGCGAUAAGUAAUGUGAAUUGCAGAAUUCAGUGAAUCAUCGAAUCUUUGAACGCACAUUGCGCCCAUUAGUAUUCUAGUGGGCAUGCCUGUUCGAGCGUCAUUAAGUCCACUUAAGCCCUGCUUAGUGUUGGGAGACUGCUCCAGCGGUGCUACCCUGUAGCUACCCUGCAGCUCCUCAAAGACAGCGGCGGAGUUGUGGUAUCCUCUGAGCUUAGUAACUUGUUCUAGCUUUCGAGUACACCACUUCCCCUGCCGUAAAACCCUUAAUUUUUAAUGGUUGACCUCGGAUCAGGUAGGAAUACCCGCUGAACUUAAGCAUAUCAAUAAGCGGAGGA